ACAAUUGGUACAGAGAGCAAAUCGAUUUCUAUGAGCCGAGAGAGAAUUGCUUCAGCAACCACACAAUGUUACAUCAGACACUUUCAACAAACACCUUCAUUACACAGCUGUGAAUCCCAGCCUCCUCCUUUUCUCACUGUCCAGAACAAUAGUCAAAGGCUGCUAGUCCUUCAUGGACAUCAUACUAUAAAACAUACAUAAGAUACGAUAGGAUAUGAUGGCAAAAACUUAUGGCAAAACCACUGUAUAUAUAUAAACCACAGAGUCAACAACAGCCUUACAGUAUUUUUGUUUUUAACCUGCCUAAAAAACAGUUAACCCUAGUUGUCCUUAUUAAUACUAAUAAGUAACAGAGUAACUAACAGAGGAAGGUUCACUUCUAAAUUGCCUUCUCAGUAGUGUUGGAGUAGUUGCACCUGAAACUUUUCAAAAAGAUGUCUUCCAAUAUAAGAUUCGCCCAAGAUUAAUUUGGCCGCAGUGUGUAAGGUGUCAUCUGAGCAGCCAUCCAUUUCUUGCAGCGUUUUUCCCUGUUACGGGUCGCAGGAGGCUGAAGACCACUGCAGCUUAAAUCAGCACACUGUACAAUCACUGUACUAUUAAUUAGCUGUAACAGCUGCACCGUUUGGCUACAUCGGUUAAAAGGAGAGAAGCAGGUUUGCAGCCUAUUGGACCGUCCUAUGAUUAAACGACUUUUAUUUGGUUAUUCUUUUAAACACAAACACUUUUAUCACACCUGUAUACAUAUACUCUAUAUAUUUGUACAUAUAUAUAUUUAUACAUAUAAUACAAAAAAAAAUCAUUCUACAGCACUUACUGCUGCUUGGUCUCACUUGAAACAAUUUCAGCUUCAACCUCUGGGGGGCAGCACGAACUAACUUUGAAAUGGUGACUAAACAUUGAAAGUUCAGAGUUACACAUCACUUUCACAUCAUUGCACAGCUCCACCCUGCGUAUUUGCAUAGAUACAAAAAUGGUUACUUCCUGCUCACUGUUGACUACGGUGAUAUCACCUGUGAUGUGGGGACAUUGUCUGUGGUCACGGCUCGUUGUGUCCCUAAUGUUCCUCACAGUCGUACAGCGAUCACAGUUUAGUUCAUCACUAUCUCUGUGUCAGUAUUUGAAAGCCGCUUCUGCGUCACUCUGAUACGCACCUCUCGUUUUUAAAGCACAUAUUCUUCUGAUACUUGUUAUACACAAGAACAUUCCCCUCACUAAGAGCUUCAAUAAAUGACAAGGUUGUUAUGACGACAGUGAGCACAGCACUCAGUGCAAGAUUAGGGAUCGGUGGAAGCUUUUAGGCUUUUACACACUCCACAGGUUUAAUGAAAUUUCACUUUCCCAAAGGAAAAAAAAAGCCUGAGUUUUAAGUCCCAUGAAGGUUGCUGCUGAAGGGUCAUACAUCUCCUCUGGACAUUUGGUUUGAAAUAAAUCCAAAAUGUAUAUUUUUAACUGUAGAAACCCAAAAGAAAAUCUGAAAUAAUACAAAAAAAAAAAAAA